GCCAUUUACCAAAGAAACACCUCAACCAGUUAGUUCUCUGGGGACCAAAUAAAGGGGGGGGGGUCCCAAGUUAGGGCGAAAAGGAGGUUUGGCCCUCUGGUCUCCUUUGUACUGUCCAGGGGUGCGGAGGGCGGCAGGGCUUGAAGCAGGCUACACCAGAGGAAUCUGCGUGGCAGAUCACCUGAAGUGGAAGGGAACACAAGCUUUCUACAAUCUCCACUGAACUGGGCCGUGAAACCACCUCCUAAAUCUCAAGGCUAAAACACCUGAAAGGGCUUGUGUAUGUAGAGCUGCCAACGGUUUCUGACAAUAACACAAAAACUGGAAGGGCUCUUCAACAAACGCAGGUAUUACAGGCGUGAGGCUCACUCGACUCGCGAUGCAAAAACCAAGACACCUUCUCUUAUUAGGGCCAUACCUUCGAUUCUGCAAACUAGGACAACUCAAAACACCAUACUGACUUUCUACAGCCAACAAACAUCAUCUUGGCUAAAAUCCAAAAACACGUAGAAGCAGCCACUUUGGAAAACUUUGGCUUUAAACGGCAACACUGGUCUUCAAGUGCUCCGGUAACCAGUUUACUGCACAUUAUGGCUUAUAAAGGGUGCUACCUCUUUACUGUCAGCUCUGGUUCCACUUACUGAACAAGAAAUAAGGAAUACUUUCAAUUCGCACAAUAAGGACUAAAAAAGCUCCCGCUUUCUGGAAGGCAGCUUUCCUGUCUCGUCAAUCCCAACAAAGGACGCAUCCUAAUGAAUUCAUCAAACCUAGAGAAAGAGAGGUGAGGAAACAACGCUUGGCCAAGAUAGCUAGCAUGGAGGAGAGCUGGAAUCAAAUAUCUCAUCUUGGUUCCUGUGGCAGAAUUUCAAGAACUUUUUUUCCAAGUGCUUCCACUUGAAUGAUUCACUCCAGGGAAUAUUUCCUUUUUGGUGCCAUAAUUUCAAUAAUUCUGCUAAGGCUGUGUAUUUGUGGUAUUUUUUUUUUAGGCGAGUACUUUACUAAUUGAUUAGGUGAAAGAAGCUCAUGAAAUAAAAACUUCUAAAUAACUUU